rnacentral:tRNA from 1 species
GUAAAGAUUAGGGGCGAAAAAGGAUUCGAAAUCCGUUGUACCUUCACCGGUACCUAGGGUUCGAAUCCCUAUCUCUCCGCCA